GGGCACGGCUUCAAUGGUUAGAACUUUCCGCUCAUAACGGUCUGGUUGCAGGUUCGAGUCCUGCCGGGCCCACCA
rnacentral:tRNA from 1 species